rnacentral:rRNA from 1 species
AACGGCAGCGCCGGGUAGCUAUGUCCGGUAGCGAUAAUCGCUGAAAGCAUCUAAGCGAGAAGCGUGCCUCAAGAUAAGCUCUCCCGUAGCAGUAUGCUACCUAAAGACCACUCGUAGACCACGAGUUUGAUAGGCUGGGUGUGGAAGGCGUGUGAGCGCUGUAGCUAACCAGUACUAAUCGGUCGUGCGGUUUAACAUC